CUCUGUGACUCCUACGGGAGGCAGCAGUGGGGAAUAUUGCACAAUGGGCGCAAGCCUGAUGCAGCCAUGCCGCGUGUAUGAAGAAGGCCUUCGGGUUGUAAAGUACUUUCAGCAGUGAGGAAGGCGGAGUCGUUAAUAGCGGCCUCGUUUGACGUUAGCUGCAGAAGAAGCACCGGCUAACUCCGUGCCAGCAGCCGCGGUAAUACGGAGGGUGCGAGCGUUAAUCGGAAUUACUGGGCGUAAAGCGCAUGCAGGUGGUUCGUUAAGUCAGAUGUGAAAGCCCGGGGCUCAACCUCGGAAUUGCAUUUGAAACUGGCAGACUAGAGUACUGUAGAGGGGGUAGAAUUUCAGGUGUAGCGGUGAAAUGCGUAGAGAUCUGAAGGAAUACCGGUGGCGAAGGCGGCCCCCUGGACAGAUACUGACACUCAGAUGCGAAAGCGUGGGGAGCAAACAGGAUUAGAUACCCUGGAG
rnacentral:rRNA from 1 species